AUAGGAUUUGCCUGAUGUAGAUGCCUUUCCCUUAGCUGUACUUCAGGUUCCUUUUAAAAUCAUUGGAGGGAAAGAGGCAACUUUAGGAUGUGAUUCUUUCCCUCUGUUUCACAUGCCUUCUUCAUGGUGAAAUGAAUGGUAGAAAUAUUUUUUCCUACAGUAGGAAACCGGUUAGAGUGUAGACAGGUAUUAUUUAGUGAUCAAAAAUUGUAGUCACCCAGUGUCCUUCAAUGCCACUUAAACACUUCAGUUGAAAAACAAAACAAACUUGAUUAAACAACUGCUGCUGACUAACUGUUUAGUUAUUACUGUACAGUUAAAGAUGUCAUUAUCUCUUAGCUGCAAAUGCAGAUCUUGGAUGCAGAAAUAUUAAGGCAAAAAAUUGCUGUUUUCAGGUGUUAAUAUCUGAAUUAAUGAAGAUGUUAUCAUAGAAUCAUAGAAUGGGUUGGGUUGGAAGGGAUCUGUAAGAUGAUCUAGCCUAGCCCCCUGCUAUAGGCACCUCCAUCUAGAUCAGGCUGCUCACAGCCAUCCAGCCUGGCCUUGAAUGCUUCCAGGGAGAGGGAAUCCACAACCUUGCUGGGCAACCUGUUCCAGUGUCUCACCACUCUCACAGGAAAUAAUUUCUUCCUGAUAUCUAGUCUGAAUAUACCCUCUUCCAGUUUAAAACCAUUUCCCCUCAUCUUAUUGCUACAUGCCCUUGUAAAAAGUCCCUCCUCAGCUUUUCUGUAGGCCCCUUCAGGUACUGGAAGGCUGCUAUAAAGUUCCCCCCCAGAGCCUUCUCUUCUCCAGAAUGAAGAGCUCCAGCUCUCUCAGCCUGUCCUCAUGGGGGAGGUGUUCCAGCCCUCUGAUCAUUUUUGUGGCCUUCCUCUGGACCUGCUCCAACAUCUCCAUGUUCUUGUGUUGAGGGCCCCAGAGUACUGGGCACAGUACUCCAGGUAGGGUGUCACAGGAGCAGGGGGGAAGAAUCACUAUCCUUGACCUUCUGGUCAAGCUUCUCUUGAUGCAACCCAGGAUACAGUUGACCUUCUAGGCUGCAAGUGCACUGUGCCAGCUCAUAUUGAAUUUUUCAUCAACUGACACCCCCAAAUCCUUCCCCUCAGGGCUGCUCUCAAGCCAUUCUCUGCCCAACAUCUAUCUGUGCUUGGGAUUGCCCUGACCCAGUUGCAGGACCUUGCACUUGACUUUGAUGAACUUCAUGAGGUUGGCAUGGGCCCACCUCUGCAGCCUGUCCAGGUCCUUCCAUCCCUUGGAGGUGUUCAAGAAAUGUUUAGAUGUUGUACUGAGGGACAUGGUUUAGUGGGAAAUAUUGGUUAUAGGUGGAUGGCUGGACUGGAUGAUCUUACAGGUCUUUACCAACCUUGGUGAUUCUGAUUCUCCCUGGAUAGUAUUCCUUCCCUCUAGCAUGUCAUCUGCACCACUCAGCUUGGUGUUGUCUGCAAACUUGCUGAGCGUGAGUCUGGUCCCACUGUCCAUGUCACCUACAAGGAUGUUAAAUAACAUCAAUCCCAGCACAUUGGACACUGAGCUGUUAACUGCAACUUUCUGAGUGUAACCAUCCAGCCAAUUCCUUAUGCAGUGAGUGAUCCAUCCAUCACAUUGAUUUUUCUCUAAUUUGGUGACCAGGAUGAUGUGUCAGACAGUGUCAAAUGCUUUGCACAAAUCUAGGUAGAUGACAUCAGUUGUUCUUCCUUUAUCCACUGACACUAUGACUCCAUCAUAAGAGGCCACUACAUUUGUCAGGCAUGACUUGCCCUUGGUGAAGCCAUGCUGGUUAUCAUCAAUCACCUCAUCUUUAUUUUCCAUGUGCCUUAGUAGGGCCUUCAGGAGGAUCUGCUCUGUGAUCUUGCCAGGUGCAGAGGUGAUACUGACUGACCUGUAGUUCCUUGGAUCUUUUUUUUUUCCCUUCUUGAAAAUGGGGGUUACGUUUCCCCUUUUCCGAUCAGUGUGAACUUCACCAGACUGCCACAACCUUUUAAAUAUGAUAAAUAGUGGCUUGGCAACUUCAUCUGCCAGUUCCCUCUGAACCUGUGGAUGGAUCUCAUCAGUUCCCAUGGACUUGUGCACCUUCAGGUUCUUUAGACGGUCUUGAACCUGAUCUUCACUUAGAGUGAGCAGCUUCUUACCAUUGCUUUCUGCAGCUUGGGCAGCAUGAAUAGAGCCUUUGCCAGCGAAGACUGAAGCAAAGAAGCCAUUGAGCACCUUGGCUUUCUCCAUAUCCCUUGUGACCAGGUAUUCAGUUUCCUCCCAGAGAGGGACCCACAUCUUCCCUGACCUUUAAUCACUAAUUAAACCUGUAAUAUUUCUUCUUGUUCCCCUUUAUGUACCUGGCUAGAUUUCAUUCUAUCUAGGUUUUAGCUUUCCUAACAUGAUCCCUAGCUGCUCAGACGACUGUUCUGUAGUCCUCCCAAGUAACCUGCUCCUGCUUCCACUCCCCUGUAGUCCUCCCAGGCAACCUGCUCCUGCUUCCACUCCCUAUAUACUUUAUUUUUCUACUUAAGGAAGUCCAGGAACUCCUAGUUGAUUCAUGAAGGCCUCCUGGCACUCUUGCCUGCCUGCCUGCCUUUUUCUCAGGGUGCAAUGCUUCUGGGCUUGGAGGAGAUGGUCCUUGAAUACUGACCAGCUUUCUUAGGUCCCUCUUCCCUCCAGGGCUUUAUCCCAUGUCACCCUGCCAAGUAGUUCCCUGAAGAGUUCGAAGUCUGUGCUUCUGAAGUCCAGAGUAGCAAGCUUGCUGCACACCCUCUUUGAUGCCGUAAGGAUCUUGAACAACACUGUUUCGUGGUCACUGCAGCCAAAGCUGCCCUUGAGCUUUGCAUUACUCACCAGUCCCUCCUCAUUAGUGAGAACAAGGUCCAGCAUAGCAUUUUUCUCAUGGGUUCAUGUACCACUUGGAAGAGAAAGUUAUCAUCAAUGCAUUCCGGGAACAUCUUCAAUUUCUGGUGCUCUGCUGUGUUGUCCCUCCAACAAGUAUUGGGAUGGCUGAAAUCCCCCAUGAGGACCAUGUUUUGUGAACAUGAAGCUGCUUCUAUCUGUAGAGGGCCUCAUCUGCUUGGUUUUCCAGACCAGGUGGUUGGCCUGUAGCAGACUCCCACUACAGUGUCUCCUUCCCCUGCGUCUUUUAACCCUAACCCAUAAGCUCUCUGUCAGCUCCUCAUCUAUCCCCAGGUGGAGGGUAGACACUAUGCCUCCAAUAGAGCUAUAAAUAUUAAGGAGGUUCUGAAAGAACUGGUUUUCUGUUUUCAAGUCCAUUCUAAACAUGCUACUCAUAGGUAUCACUGGUAAUAUGAGUAUAGUAAAUAUGCUGCUUACAAAACUAGUCAUGUUUUAAAUUUUUCUUGAAAUACUAUCUGCUAGUGCUGGAAAUAGAUUGCUUGCAUAAACAGAUUAAUUAGAAUUUCAGUCUUCCCAACUGGUGUUGGGCGGUGAUCCUCCAAUCAACUUUGUAAACCUGAUGCCCACAUGUUGCGUUGCUUACUGCCCUGCCUACUGCCAAGCAGCAGGGUGGUAUUACUGUGCCUAACUGGAUGUCAGUCAGUAUCUGCCUACCUAGAAGAGCUCCUCUCAGAGCUAAUUUGCUAGCCUGGUGGGUGAUAAAGAUUAAAGCCUCCCUGAUCACCUCAGGGGAGUUUCACUAGGAGCUGAUCCAGAAGUUUUUAAGUUCUGGGCCACGUAUCUGGAUUCCUCUGUAAGGAGGUAGCACAGAUUUCAGGAUUUACAGCAACACACGAUUAAUUUCAAUGCUGUAAGUCGGAUGUGGGCAACCAUUAUAGCUUGUUUAGAUCUGCAGCAUUUGGCAGUCAAACUUUGUCAAACUUGGCAAACAACACUUCGUAAAGUAAAUUCCUAUUGUAAGCAUGUUCACUUGAGUACCUCUGAAAGGCCAGUAUUUCUGGCUAAUUUUUUUGGUUCGUAUUGCAGGUGCAUGAAGAGGCAUGUGCUAUUUUUCUAUAAGGACUCAGUUAACUGGAGUCAUGAGUUGCUUCAUGAUACAGCUGUUUUUCAGCUGGUGGCAUCUUUAAGGUCAGAUGUUCCCAGCAAGCCUGGCAUCAGCCUGGCCUCUUGCAUCCAUUAUUGUGCCCCAUAUACUAGAGUUCAGAAGACUUCUCAAACAUAGAAUCACAGAAUCAUUAAGGCUGGAAAACAUCACCAAGUUUGUCUGCUAAUGGGAUGAGAACUGUGUAGCUUUGUUUACCAAUGAGGCUCUUAAUUUAUGCCUGUGAUGGCAUUCCUUCCAUGCUGUUUUUACUAAAUCUCUCUGGAUCUCACAGUUGAAUAAACUGUUUUAUUCCAAGCCUGCACAAGAGGAAGCAGUCUGAACACUGCAAAAAUACUUUUUCUGUUGAUUUGAUAGCAUUCCAAGUAUCGUUGGUUUUAUGCUGUUGUUGAAUUUACAGUUUGUGCAGCAUGGCCUAACAUGGUUUGUCUUCUGUUGUUUAUUACUGUGUUUCUUUGAUACUGGUAUUGGGUAGUUGACCCUAUCACCACAUCUGAGGUAAGGGACAAGGCCUCAUUCAUUCAACUCAAAACAGAAGGAAGUUUACCUACAAGAUUUGUGCAUUAUUGAGGCGCUUUCUGUCAAAUACCUAUUAACGAGAUCUGCUCCAGCUUCUGUAAUUUGCUAGCCUGCUCUGUAUUUGAUAUGGAGCUGGAGUGGCAAGAGUAUAUUUGAGUGUAGGCAAAACAUGAAGGCAUUUUCCAUUCCUGUUGGUGAGUUAAUAUCGCUAGGUGUUUUUCAUGAGCAUGGUUUCUGUGUUCUUGGGCAUGCCCACAGUAUGGGGGCUGUAGUUAGGGAGAUGUCCACCUGUAAUGGAACUGGUUUUCGUUGAGGAGCCCUCUCCUUGUUCUCCUCUUCUGCAGAGGAACAGCUGCUCGGUGGCUAGGGGAGCUGAGGAAAACUUGUGUGUGUGUUUCCUUUCAGCUGGCAUCACUGUAAGACAGGUUAUGAAAAGGGACGUACUGUAAAUACAUAUACAGUGUCAUUCUACAACGAUUUAAUGAUGGAAACUUGUAUGCAAGCUUUUAUUUUUAAAAGUAAUUUACUGCUCCUAUCUCUUCUGUUACACCAGAAUAGCUGUCAUUUCACCUGGUGCUCCUGAGAUCAGCAGUGCUAAUGCUCUAUUGUAAUAUUGUCCUGAGUAUCCAUGGUGAUGACGAAAUUUAACCUCUGUCUGUAGCCAGUGCUGCCCUGGAGGAGUUUGUGACAUCCUUUAAGUUGCACUGGUGUCAUACUGUGGCUUUGGUAGAACAGCUUUCUGAUGUCAGGAAACCAGGCUCCUCCAAGUUCAUGGACAUUCCAGCAGCAAAACUCGGAGUUCUAUGAGCUCUGAGAUGGUGGUGGUGAGGAAAAUAAGUGUAGAGGUCUAAGAGGGAAAAUAAAUGUAUGCUAGGUAGUUGCAAUGACCCAUGCACUCAAAAAUUCAGUUUCUUCCUUCCUCUUUAAAAAGAACAGCAGAAUCAUUCUCUUAAAGAACUGAAAAUAAUUACAAAUUGUGGUAAUACUAAUGAUAGGUGUAAUACAGAAGAAACCCACUAUUUCAUAUCACUUGAUAGGAAACCUAACUUGCCAUUUUAAUAUUUCACUACUUAGUUAUACCACCUCAUUGUACUAUAAUGCUUUCUGAUUUGUUUGGCCAUUAGAUAAAUAAUGUGACUUCAUUUAAAUUACCAAAAUGUGAAGAAGUGUUAAACCGUGUUCUCCACUCUGAAGAGUAAUGGAAGAAGGCUGCUGUAUUAUCUCUGGAUUAAAUACAUUAUUUCAGCACUAUAAAGAUAAACCUUGUGUCUUGGACAGUAGUUACCAAGUAGGCAUUCUUUAACACCUGGAACAUCUGGAUCAUGUUGACUUUUUUUACCAUGGCAAAAAGGGUGAAUGAAAUACAAUUCCUGCUUUCUGAGUUCAUAAGCAUUUCUUCAGUCUCAUGGCAGCUGGAGAUCCCAAUCCAUAAGUAUAUAUAUACGUAUGUUACAGAUAUUAUGUGUUUUUUAAAAAGAAUUGACAGAGCUUACUCUAAAGUGACUUCUGUGUCAAAUUGAGUAGAUGAACGAAUUAUUUUCAUGUUCAGACUUCUUUGUUAGUGAUUAUUUUAAGCAAAAUAGAAAAUGUUGAUGUUCUAAUGGGAUAUAUUUGUAUCAGAAUAAAUAAAUAAUUGGCAAUUACUUAUAAAUAGCUUAAGCUGUUUUAUUUUCAUCUUUUGUGGUUAUCUGUAUUCAUAACUUUUUCUUUGAUCUGUAUAUGUUUGCUUUUCCUAAGUGGUUUUAAUGUUUUAUUAUAAUAUUCUUAAUAUGAUAUAAGCUUCAAUGAUACAAUGAUCAAUAAACUGUAGUAGGCUGGUUCUGGGACAGAAAAAAAAGCUAUGCUAAAUUUUAGUCUGAAUUUUAGGCCACUUGUUAUGUUUUAAAAGAAAGAACUUGCAUUAAAAAUAGUUUGACUGAUUUAUGUGGUGGAUUAGACUGGAUUUAGUUGCUUUGAAAUCUAGUAAUCAGAUAAAGUUCUGCACAAAGCAGCUGCAGCUCUUUGCACUGGUGCUUGUGGUAUUGGACCAGCUUGAGGUCAGUGAUCAAGAUGAAGGUACAUUUCAAAGGAUUUCCCUUGGGAAUGAACGCCAAGCACUGCUGAUGGAUCAAAAGCGCUGGUCUGUGGCAAUGAAAAGAGCAGAGGCUCUUACUGUCAUGGAAGUACAGACUGUUUGCAAUAGCACUUGGCAUCUCUCAUAAAGUGCAUGGCUAUCAGGGCAAGUAAAAGCAUGACAGCCACUCUUACUUCUUUCAAAAGCCUGUGUUACAUGCUUAAUCUUCUGGGCAGAAUUAUUUAACCAGCUGUGGCGCUUCUCUUUCAUGUCUGGAUGGGGAAGCCUGAGCACUGAUGUAGGCUUUCUGAGUGUGAAACAGGUCCAUUUACCCUGACAGUGGAACUGAUUCAGCUUUGCUGAAGUGAAUGUCUUCAUCAGUGGGGCUGUUGCUGGCAUUGCUGCUGGGUGCGGUGGAUAUAGGCAGAGGGAGAGGGUGAAGUCUUCUACAGUGGUGAAAGUAGGGCUUUUGCUGCUGCUCCGGAGCAAAGAGGGGAGUUUUCCUACCCAGUUCCUAUAUCUGUCCCAGACAGCAGCCAUGUCUAUUGGCUGGACUUUGUAUUAUUCAUAUUCACCUCUGCUGAGAUACAGUUUCUUUGUGAUAAAAUCAUGUGCAUUCCAGCCUAGGAUCCAUUGAAACUUGUAGGCAGGCACACACAAGUAUAAGGCAAUAAAGCUGUUUAGUUUAAGUUUUUCCUUCUUUACAUCAAUUUAAUGGAGAAAAGAGUUGGCUUACCUUUUCUCCUAGUUCAAAACAACAGAAUGAGCUUGCUGGCAUGUGUACAUCUAGAGAAUGCAGCAAGUCGUGUUCAGUGGGGUUGAUGCAGGCCUGUAAAAGGAAAGUCUCGACAGCUUCUGUUAUUGCAGCUGCUAUUUCCAGAAACUUCUGUGAAGAAGUAACUGCCAAGUUUUGGCAUUUUAUUGCAUAGGAGAGUUAGGCAUUAUACAAGAUAGGACAAGUGGGAAGAAGACAGAAUACAAACCUAAGAGUACUUCCUCAGUGCUACCUAUGUAUUUUUAACCUCCUCUAAAAACUGAAGUGAUUGUGUAUUAGUGUUGGUGAUGAACUUCUAAUACUUGCAGAAAUUUUCCUUAUAGGCACUCUGACUUCUUUAACUUCAUGGGAUGCUCAGUUGUACCUUGAAUUUGUUGUGCUGUAGCAAACAUACAAGGGGGCAGCAGACCUGAGUGAUCCAGCAGUACUCUUGUUGUCUGCAGUUAUGUUUUAGAAAGCACCGAUACAGGAUGAGUAGUAGCUGUGCUUAAUGAUGAGUGUAACAGGCAUUAAAUGUAAUUAAUACCAAUUAAACAAUUCUAGGAGAAGAUAGUUUUAAUAUGUUUUGCAGGCAUAGGGUGACAAUCCCAAAGAACUGCUUAGAAAGACUUAUGCCAGUGUGCAGGAAGGUGAUCAUAAAUAGCUGUUUAUAUCUUGGCACUAUUAGAACUUGAGCAUCUUGGAGUUUCUGUGACUGUAUUGUAAGGGAGGGUUCCCAUUGUAUUAGAUAUUUUUGUUCUCUUUGCUGGUUCUUCUUUCCUUGUGACUAAUGUGGUGCUCUGGGAUUUACCUCAGUGAACUUGGGGACUGCUUUCUCAAAAAGCACUUGUAAAAUUACACCAAGAUGGGAGCAAAUUCAUCUGUAAAAUCACAAAAAUCCAUUUUUGUAUUUGAAGCCCUGAUGAUAGCAGUAUGAAUUAGCAGUGAGAACAUUAGUAGCAUUCUGAUGCCUCAGUUAGAUCAGUUACAGCUGAACUGUGCAGAGCUGCAGCUGCUGCUGUUCUGUGGAUGACCAUAACCAAAUGAAGAAAAAGGAAACAAGUAGAGUGAAGGACAAGUAGAUAAGAUGAUUAUCAGUAUGGCUUUACCAACAGUCAUUUGAGGACCUUUGUUUUUGUAUGGAGUCCUCCUGAACUUGGUGAUGAAUGAUGGAGAAUUUAUAUCAGACACCAACCACAGGUCAGUCUUUGGUGUAUCCUGCCACAUGCUAACAACUUUCAUUGCCUCUAACCAACCUAUGUUAGUUUUCCCUACAAUGUUUUAAGUUAUAACUUGAACACAAUUUUUCUUAGUUUUUUUCUCAGUUUUAUUCUUAAUACAGCAGGUGAUGGAUUAAAACUGUGUGAACCUUUUGUUAUAUAAAAAUAAAGAGCAAAUCUGUAGCAAAAAGUAAGCGCAGAGCUGUGAUAGACAGUUUUAUUAAUAAGGUGAUAUGAGAGCAGUCUUUGAAUUUAGACUGCUAAGGCUGCUGCUUCCUGUGGAGGAGAAAGUCACAAAUCUUAAAAUAAAAAUUAGUGUGACUAUGCAGUUGAAAACAGCAUUAUGUAUUCAGGCUUGUUUGGGCAUUUACUGCUUAAAUAAACACAUACAGUAUCAAUUGAAUAUACAAAAUAAUAAGCUUUCCUCAGUCUUAAAUAUGCUACUGCCAUCAGUAUCCCGUAAUAACUUAUAAAUGUGAUUCACUAACAGCGAUCACAUCAGCUGUGUGCAGCAAUAAAUAAAAAAUAACCACCCACAGAAAUAUAUAAGCACUUUCAGUGUGGUAAAUGUGGCCAUCCUCCAUCUUUGUAAACAAGUGCACUUAUAGGUGUAUUUUACAUUGCACUCUGAAUGCUACUCGUAAUACAAAUAACUGCUAAAAGAUUAGCAUCAGCUAUUUAGAUAUUUUGAACAAAUUUAAUGUAGAAACAUAUCCAUAUAACAGCAUUGCAACUCAGUUGCUGAAAAUUUCUACAACAGAACAUGAAUAGUUUUCAAGAAGAAAUAUAGGCUUUUGAUUAAAUGUAGUGUUACUGGAAGUGUAACAUGUCCACAGCUGAAACUGUGGUGGUCUUAAUCACUGUUUCUUCUUCAAUGGAUAAUUCAUGAUCUUCUACAGCCAAAGGGCAGACAUUUUAGCAGAUUUAGCUAAUAGUUAUCAAGAUUGCGCAGCAGUGUUUUUUUUUGUUGUUUUUUUUUCUAAAGGCAACUGUCAACAAAGGCAAAAAUAAAGAUCCAGGAAAUGAUAGGCAAGAUGUUUUGUGUGGGUUUCACAUCCAGUUUGGUAGCACACCUAUCAUACCAAACUAAUACAAUAAGAUAUAUGUAUGUAUUCACUUCUAUAUUAAAUCAGUCUAUAUAAAAUCUAGUGGUAUAGUUCUCAGUAAAUGUAAAAAAUCAGAGCUCAAA
ensembl:lncRNA